rnacentral:rRNA from 1 species
CAGUAGCCGCGGUAAUACGGAGAGUGCAAGCGUUACUCGGAAUCACUGGGCGUAAAGGACGCGUAGGCGGAUUAUCAAGUCUCUUGUGAAAUCUAACGGCUUAACCGUUAAACUGCUUGGGAAACUGAUAAUCUAGAGUAAGGGAGAGGCAGAUGGAAUUCUUGGUGUAGGGGUAAAAUCCGUAGAUAUCAAGAAGAAUACCUAUUGCGAAGGCGAUCUGCUGGAACUUAACUGACGCUAAUGCGUGAAAGCGUGGGGAGCAAACAGGAUUAGAUACCCCCGUAGUCCCUGUCUCUUAUAC